AAGAAAUACUGUUAUGGCCCAUGUGUCUUUUCAUAAAAUACUAGUGGGUCCUAUCUAACUGUGACAAACAAUAAAGACUGUAGGUUGAAUUGGAGAAAGAAUGUACAACUGAUUAAUCUACUAAUGAAUACGCUACAAACACUCAAACUCAAAUAUUUAGGAUAAGGGUUGUAUACCAAUUUGUCAUUAUACAAUACAGCGCAGCAAAACAAAAUGAAAGUUUAUAACACAUUUACAGUUAUUAAUAUUCAUAUAUCAUGUGGUGCAUUUUUUAAACCUGCAUUUGGGUAAACAGCAGCAACAAGAUGGUGACAAUAAUAUGGUUGGCAUCUUCAUUUACAAGUUAAAGUGUUACAGUUACAGUUCAACAUCAGGUUAACAUUAUCCAUAUAUACACGUAUAUACAUACACACAUAUACACAUAUCUUGCAAUAUACCGUUUCAAAGCUUAUGUCACACUUUGAAAUUAUUAUAAUUAUGUUUUGAUUUAUUCAAAUAUUUGUUUUAAAAAACAGUUGAAUUAGAAAACCUAUUCUCAGCAUAUCAGAAUCAGCUUUAGAAAGCCACUAUUUGCAAUUACAGAAUGUUCUCUGUUCCCAAAAACAAUACUGAGGACGCUCCCUAUGUCUCCAGUGGCAGCUAUCAUCCUGUUUAAGGUUGCAGCUGACUUAAGGAAUUCUUAGUCUACAUAGGCUAGCUGCAGACAUGGUGCCACUUUGUCUGACGUCACCUCUGAUAAAUCCACUAACUUGCAUGUUGAUGUUUGAGAACAGAACACUGCUUUGUUUGACUAACAACAACAACAAAAAAGGUUUGAUUAAACACAUGUUAAUGAUCAACAUGUCCUACACAGAGUGGGGUCACAGCAGCAGCUCCACAAUCGACCCGCUGACAGGCUGACUGAUCAAACAUGUCACCAGAUAUGUUGGUGUGACCGGACCACACUGGGUUUUACCGUUAAGUAGUAAAUACAAACAGCAUGUCUUCAGCUUGUCAGUUCUGUCAAACUGUGUUCACCUGUCCCACUCCUGCUGGAUAAAAAUGGCGAGUUCUUGAAAGGACCGUUGGUGUAUUACCUUCUCAGAUAUCAUUUUAUUAUACAGGAUUAUUGCUAGCUUGUUUCAAGCAAACACACCAGCGCACAUAACGGGCCGACCGGCUCUUGUUUACCAAAACUUGGUCAUGACAGACUAGUAGUAUCCCUGCAAUAUCUACACCACGUCAGAGGAGCGAUAAUAGGCUGCAGAAAAGCCAAAGGCUGCUGCCAAACCCUGCAAAUACUGCUCUAUGUUUUUGUCGUGAAAACCAGCAUCCGGUUGAGGAAGACAUUCUGACAUAAUCACUAUGUUUACAUUAGCUGCACGUCACAAACACGUUCCUAACUCCCUGGCAACCUCUCUGUCUCAACGUGUGCGCGUAGUGGGUUGGUGUGAUGCCACCAUGGAGGCAGAGAACAACAACCAACCCACCUUAGACAACCACAACAAUCUCUACAAGAUACCUGGUCAAGAGGAUCAGAAAAACGUGCCAAGCUACAAGUACUGCUGCACUCUGGCAAACUUCCGUAUUGAAAAGAAGAUUGGACGAGGCCAGUUCAGUGAGGUCUACAAAGCAACAUAUCUGCUGGAGGGACAGCUGGUAGCACUCAAGAAGGUCCAGAUCUUUGAUAUGAUGGAUGCCAAGGCUCGUCAGGACUGCAUCAAAGAGAUAGAUCUACUGAAGCAGCUGAAUCACCCCAAUGUAAUCAAAUACCUAGACUCCUUUAUCGAAGACAAUGAGCUGAAUAUUGUUCUGGAGCUGGCAGACGCUGGAGACCUGUCCCAGAUGAUAAAGUAUUUCAAGAAGAAGAGGCGACUCAUUCCAGAGAGGACUAUAUGGAAAUAUUUUGUGCAGCUCUGCAGCGCCCUGGAGCACAUGCAUUCACGCAGAGUAAUGCACCGUGAUAUCAAGCCAGCCAACGUGUUCAUAACAGCCACAGGGGAGGUAAAGCUUGGUGAUCUGGGUUUGGGUCGCUUCUUCAGCUCUAAAACCACAGCAGCCCACUCUUUAGUGGGGACACCUUACUACAUGUCACCGGAGAGGAUCCAUGAGAACGGAUACAAUUUUAAGUCAGAUAUCUGGUCCCUGGGAUGUCUUCUGUAUGAGAAUUUUUCUCAUGGAGACUGUCCUCCUCUUCCUCCAGAUGGCAGCGCUGCAGAGUCCGUUUUAUGGGGAUAAGAUGAACCUGUUCUCCCUCUGCCAGAAGAUUGAGCAGUGUGACUACCCUCCCCUCCCACCUGACCAUUACUCUGAGAAGCUUCGAGACCUGGUUAGCAUGUGCAUCAGCCCAGACCCAGACCAGCGGCCGGACAUCGUCUUCGUGCUGCAGAUCGCCAAACAGAUGCACAUGUGGACUUCCAGCACCUGAGCACUAUCUGCUACAAGCCCCCUCUGCUCAGUCUGAGGAGCUCAAACCACUAGAAGUGCGCUCUGCCUGGUCUUACAGAAAAGUGUCUGCCUCGCCCUCAUCUUGACAGGAGGAAUCCAUGGGAAGACUUGCACAAGUGGACUGGGAUGUUGAAACAUCCAAACACCCACUUAUUUUCUGACGUGGAGGAUGUGAAGAGGUGCGUUAGUGGUGCAGCACGCAUGGAAGGUGGAGUUUCGGAAACCAUGAUUGUUCAUGUGAGAGGGGACCCCGUUUCUGCCUUUUUUAUCUGCUUCAGAUAGAAAGCUGUGUCUCACUAUGAUCACAGACUUCUCUAAGCUUUCUGUUUUGUAUAGGGCUUGCAUUCCAAGUUCAUACCCUUUGGUAAAGAUAAAGUGUGAAGUAGAACUGGGCAAUUAGAAUAUUUAUCAUCUAGUGUCUACCAAUGCUAUCAUAUCAUAGCUUUUUUUUCUAUCCUGUCAAUUUCAGUUCAUCAUUUAGGAGUCAAAAUGUACAAUUAGAACAUUUUUAGCAAUUUAUAAGUCAUAUUUCUCUGAGGGAAGCCAGAGUGACUGUGGUGGCUUAAAACUUUCUAGGUCCAGUAUCUCAAAUUAAUCACAAAAGUGAUAUAUUUAUAGCUGAAGACCAGCCCGUCAACACGUUCAUGUUCCGGCCAAUGUGUAUUUGGUGGACAUAAUUGCAUGAUGAGUCAGUACUACAAACUUGGCCCCGGACAGACAUGAAUAACACUGAACCUGACAUGCCAGAUAGUUCAUUACACUGAACUAUCUACAAGAGAACCGCUAGAAACUGUUUGUUAAAGGGCAGGAACUUUCAAAAAGUACUUGGCAGGUGUUUGGCUGAACGAUCUGUCUUUUGCUAUCCAUCACAGGCUUCCGUUAAUCAGGAGAGCGAAAACAUAUUUUUUAUGAAAAGCUUCAGUGCUCUCCUUUCAAUUAAAUCCACUCUCCACUUCUGAUGUAACUGAUGCCAUAGCAGCUGCGCUAACAGCCAGCUAUCAAACAAACAGUCCCUUCUCUCGCUGCUCCUCAAACCUAAACUACGCUCACCACUGACAGUGGUUCUUCAUAUGAGGCUGAUCAGUUAAACCACUUGUUCGGACAAAAGUGCAUAGCUUAAAACUGGCAAGAUGCAUUCAUUCAUUUAUUCAUUCAUUCAUUCAUUCAUGAUGUCAAAGUGAAUCAACACCUGCCUCUGUGGUAGUUUCUGUUACAAUAGAUGUCACACACCCACACACACACACACACACACACACACACACACACACACAGUCCCUCAAAGUCAUGAUGUCACUGCUUCCUCUGUAUUACAAGACAAUUAAAUUGUGAUCUUUUGAUAAUGAGCUUAACAAAUUCAUCAUCAUCACCCACCACAGCCUCUUGGUUUCUUUUGUGUUGAUUUUUGAAAAGGACUAGACUUUAUUUUUCUACUGCCUGGUUUAGGUGUCACCAUCUGUGCUUCUUGAAACUGUGCCAACCUCUUGAUUUCAUUCUUCUAGCUCCUUAGUUAACAAACUGAAAUUUAUGACAAUUUUCAUGUUGCCUAGAUUCUUACAUUAUGCAUAUCAUUUCAGUGUUGAUAGUGAAAUAAAGAAGGAAAGAAAAUGCGUAAAACAAUUUAGAACUUAUUUUUUUUGUCAUUAUUAUCCCGGGGAAACUGAAAAAAUGAGCACAUUAUUGAGUGCUGCAGUGUCCUUUAUUCAGUCUGUUCCAUACAUAUUUGAACAGGCACACAAGAAGUUGUCCUAAAACAACAGUUUGUGCAAUGGUGGUGGGUGUAGGUGAGUGUUCCAACGAUGUAACGGAUGAUUCAAGUUUCAUGUGAUGUACUAUCAGAAUGUAGAUUAUGAUCAUGUUUAACGUGGUUAUAUGUACAAACAUCGACCACUAUUACUGUGAAACUAAGUACCGUAAAAAUGAGAUGCUAUGAAGAUCAUUUUGAGUACUAAACAAGAAUAUGUUUAAAAUUGUCUGUAAGGAGCAUAUCUGUUGCACAGUGCCUUUUUAGACAGAAAACCUGAACAUUGUUGUAUUCAGUUGUCGUUGAUAACUUGUAUUUUAUGCUAGUAAAACAUACAGGAAGCAGGAAAGUGUUUUCAGUUUUCAUCAUGUUUAGACAAUUCAUAUCCUCUGUCUUUAUCUUCAAAGAAAGUAUUGUGCUAUUAUGUUUCUACCAACUACUUUAUCAAUCAUCAUAACAUUAAAUGUGGUUCUGUGUGGCA